rnacentral:rRNA from 1 species
UACAGAGGUCCCAAGCGUUGUUCGGAAUUACUGGGCGUAAAGGGCUCGUAGGCGGCCAACUAAGUCGGACGUGAAAUCCCCAGGCUCAACCUGGGAACUGCGUCCGAUACUGGAUGGCUUGAAUCCGGGAGAGGGAUGCGGAAUUCCAGGUGUAGCGGUGAAAUGCGUAGAUAUCUGGAGGAACACCGGUGGCGAAGGCGGCAUCCUGGACCGGUAUUGACACUGAGGCACGAAAGCUAGGGUAGCGAACGGG